rnacentral:rRNA from 1 species
AACGAACGCUGGCGGCAUGCCUAACACAUGCAAGUCGAACGAGACCUUCGGGUCUAGUGGCGCACGGGUGCGUAACGCGUGGGAACCUGCCCUUAGGUUCGGAAUAACUCCCCGAAAGGGGUGCUAAUACCGGAUAAUGUCUUCGGACCAAAGAUUUAUCGCCUUUGGAUGGGCCCGCGUUGGAUUAGCUAGUUGGUAGGGUAAAAGCCUACCAAGGCGACGAUCCAUAGCUGGUCUGAGAGGAUGAGCAGCCACACUGGGACUGAGACACGGCCCAGAAUCCUACGGGAGGCAGCAGUGGGGAAUAUUGGAAAAUGGGCGAAAGCAUGAUCCAGCAAUGCCGCGUGAGUGAUGAAGGCCUUAGGGUAGUAAAGCUCUUUUACCCGGGAUGAUAAUGACAGUACCGGGAGAAUAAGCUCCGGCUAACUCCGUG